rnacentral:rRNA from 1 species
CGUAGGGGGCGAGCGUUGUCCGGAAUCAUUGGGCGUAAAGAGCUCGUAGGCGGUUCAGCAAGUCGGCUGUGAAAUUCCGAGGCUCAACCUCGGAACUGCAGUCGAUACUGCUGUGACUCGAGUCCGGUAGAGGAGAAUGGAAUUCCCGGUGUAGCGGUGAAAUGCGCAGAUAUCGGGAGGAACACCAGUAGCGAAGGCGGUUCUCUGGGCCGGUACUGACGCCGAGGAGCGAAAGCGUGGGGAGCAAACAGGAUUAGAUACCCUGGUAGUCCACGCUGUAAACGUUGGACACUAGGUGUGGCGGUCUGAUCAACGACUGCCGUGCCGAAGCUAACGCAUUAAGUGUCCCGCCUGGGGAGUACGGCCGCAAGGCUA